rnacentral:rRNA from 1 species
UACGUAGGGGGCAAGCGUUGUCCGGAAUCAUUGGGCGUAAAGCGCGCGUAGGCGGCCCGGUAAGUCCGCUGUAAAAGUCCAGGGCUCAACCCUGGAAAGCCGGUGGAUACUGUCGGGCUAGAGUCCGGAAGAGGCGAGUGGAAUUCCUGGUGUAGCGGUGAAAUGCGCAGAUAUCAGGAGGGACACCGAUUGCGAAGGCAGCUCGCUGGGACGUUACUGACGCUGAGACGCGAAAGCGUGGGGAGCAAACAGG